CUGAAUCUUGUUAAUUAUGGAAGCAUCGUGAUUUUAGAGAUUUUAGGGUAGUGGAUGCUAUGAUCUGAAUCUCCUAAUUAAGGUAACUGAAUAAGAUUUGAUUAGCUGGUUAAUUACAAUACGUAUGGAAGCUGUAUAUUUACACAUCAUUACAAAUCGAUAAAACUACUUUAGAUCGAGGGAACAAAUCCAGCCAUGAUGAAGAAGAAUUUCGAUGUCAAUCACGAUCAAAUUCAUCUACUCAAUCGUUGUAAAGAAGCAAACUUAAUCAUUCAAUAAGGUUGAACAUAACCUUAUAAAAUGAUGUGGAUGGUGAUUGGAACGGGUUUUGAGAAUUGGUUUUCGUAUUCUUUAACCAAGAUUUGUUAAGAUGUUCUGUUGAGAUCCAUAUGACGUUAAUAGAGAGAUAGACAGAGACUUCUGCAUUCUCAUAUACCAUUGACAAUCACAUGAAGAUAAUGUCAAUCUUGAUUGCUGGUAGUGUUAACUAUAGAAAGAUAUAUAUGAAGAUGUCAACCAAGUCAUGUCACCAUUUUAGUCUCAGAGGAAUUCAAUCAAAGUAUUGGUUGAUGCGGCCAUCUUUCAAGAACAUAAUGCAAUUGCGCUGGGUAUCUUAGCUAGAAACUCAGACAGAGAGGUGAUCUUUGCACGCACUGUUAGGCAUUAGGGUAUGGUUGGUCCAGAUAUGACUGAAGCCAUGGCAAUCAAGGAGGCUUUAAGUUGGUGUAAGGAGACUAAUACAACUGACCAGGAGGUCAUGAUUGAAUCUGAUUGCCUGGUGAUAGUCCUGGCAAUACGAAUUGCCUGGUGAUAGUCCUGGCAAUACGAAGCAGUGUUCCAAUGUUCUGGCUAGCAGGGUGGCAAUUGGCAUGCCCAUAGUUUAGCUAGAGCUUGGUAUUCCUCACUAUUCCAUCCGUGGUGUUUGGUAGAGUUGAUGUACCUCAGAAAGUUCUCAAUUGUAUUAUGAACGAUUCUCUUUGCGUUAAAAAAAAAAACGAUCUAGUUUGUCCA